rnacentral:misc_RNA from 1 species
GAUGAAGAACGCAGCGAAAUGCGAUAAGUAAUGUGAAUUGCGGAAUUCAGUGAAUCAUCGAAUCUUUGAACGCACCUUGCGCCCUUUGGACAUUCCGAAGGGCAUGCCUGUUUGAGUAUCAUGAACACCUCAACUCUCACGGCUUGUCCGUGAUGAGCUUGGACUUUGGGGGUCUUGCCGGCCUGUGGUCGGCUCCUCUCAAAUGGAUCAGCUUGCCAGUGUUUGGUGGCAUCACAGGUGUGAUAACUAUCUGCGCUUGUGGUUUUCCAUCAGAUAACCUUCAGUGAUAUGGAGGUUCGCUGGAGCUCACAAAUGUCUCUCCUUAGUGAGGACAGCUCUUUGAACGUUUGAUCUCAAAUCAGGUAGGACUACCCGCUGAACUUAAGCAUAUCAAUAAGCGGAGGA